rnacentral:rRNA from 1 species
GGCGGCGUGCCUAAUACAUGCAAGUCGAACGCAUUUUCUUUCACCGUAGCUUGCUACACCGGAAGAAAAUGAGUGGCGAACGGGUGAGUAACACGUGGGUAACCUGCCCAUCAGCGGGGGAUAACACUUGGAAACAGGUGCUAAUACCGCAUAAUUCCAUUUACCGCAUGGUAGAUGGAUGAAAGGCGCUUUUGCGUCACUGAUGGAUGGACCCGCGGUGCAUUAGCUAGUUGGUGGGGUAACGGCCUACCAAGGCUGCGAUGCAUAGCCGACCUGAGAGGGUGAUCGGCCACACUGGGACUGAGACACGGCCCAGACUCCUACGGGAGGCAGCAGUAGGGAAUCUUCGGCAAUGGACGCAAGUCUGACCGAGCAACGCCGCGUGAGUGAAGAAGGUUUUCGGAUCGUAAAACUCUGUUGUUAGAGAAGAACAAGGAUGAGAGUGGAAAGUUCAUCCCUUGACGGUAUCUAACCAGAAAGCCACGGCUAACUACGUGCCAGCAGCCGCGGUAAUACGUAGGUGGCAAGCGUUGUCCGGAUUUAUUGGGCGUAAAGCGAGCGCAGGCGGUCUUUUAAGUCUGAUGUGAAAGCCCCCGGCUUAACCGGGGAGGGUCAUUGGAAACUGGGAGACUUGAGUGCAGAAGAGGAAAGCGGAAUUCCAUGUGUAGCGGUGAAAUGCGUAGAUAUAUGGAGGAACACCAGUGGCGAAGGCGG